AACGAACGCUGGCGGCGCGUCUUAACCAUGCAAGUCGAGCGGCAGGCAGCAAUGCCGAGAGCGGCGGACUGGUGAGUAACCCGUGGAUAACGUACCCCGAUGUCCGGGACAGCCUGUAGAAAUAGAGGGUAAUACCGGAUAGAUCACUGUUUACGUGAGGUAGACAGCGGGAAAGGAGCUUCGGCUCCGCGACGGGAUCGGUCUGCGGCCCAUCAGCUGGACGGCGGGGUAAAGGCACGCCGUGGCGAGGACGGGUAUCCGGCCUGAGAGGGCGGACGGACACAUUUGGACUGUGAUACGGCACAGACUCCUACGGGAGGCAGCAGGUAAGAAUGGUACGCAAUGGGGGGAACCCGGACGGAGCGACGCCGCGUGGACGGAGAAUACCGGAAGGUUGUAAAGUUCUUUUCUGUCCGGGAAAUAAGUUUCGGAGGAAAUGCCGGGACGGUGACGGUAGGGCAGGAAUAAGCACCGGCUAAGUACGUG
rnacentral:rRNA from 1 species